GGGUGUGAUCACACUAACGUUAAUGCACCAAAUCCCAUCAGAACUCCGCAGUUAAGCUCGCUUGGGCUAGAGUAGUCCUAGGAUGGGUGACCUCCCAGGAAGUCCUAGUGUUGCAUCCU
rfam:Picea glauca, whole genome shotgun sequence.